rnacentral:tRNA from 1 species
CUAAGUUUUAGUUUAACUAAAAUGUUUAACUGUUAAUUAAAAGAUGUCUUUAAUGUCAAGCUUAGA